rnacentral:misc_RNA from 1 species
GAUGAAGAACGCAGCGAAAUGCGAUAAGUAGUGUGAAUUGCAGAAUUCAGUGAAUCAUCGAAUCUUUGAACGCACAUUGCGCCCUAUGGUAUUCCGUAGGGCAUGCCUGUUCGAGCGUCAUUCAAACCUUCAAGCUCUGCUUGGUGUUGGGCGUCUGUCCUGCCUCACGGCGCGGACUCGCCUCAAAUCUAUUGGCGGCCGGCACGUUGGCUUCGAGCGCAGCAGAAACGCGAACUCGAGACCGGCGGAUCGGCUCCCAGAAGCUACCCCCAUGAAUUUGUCCUCGGAUCAGGUAGGGAUACCCGCUGAACUUAAGCAUAUCAAUAAGCGGAGGA